GCUGCUGGUACCAAAGCCAAACCACUGUGGUUCAAUGUCGGGGCGCACAAUCACAUGUAUACGACAUGUAUGCUGGUCAAGGUGUUGUAUCCAGAAAAGCAGUGUUUAUAUACUGCGAUCUGUUGAGACUCCUAUGAUCGGGUGUUUUGU
rnacentral:ncRNA from 1 species